GGCACUGCGCAGCCAAACAUGCAAGUUCGGAAGGUAGCACAGAAGGAAGCUUGGCUCCUCGGGUGACGAGUGGCGGACGGGUGAGUAAUGUCUGGGAAACUGCCCGAGGGAGGGGGAUAACUACUGGAAACGGUAGCUAAUACCGCAUAACGUCGCAAGACCAAAGUGGGGGACCUUCGGGCCUCACACCAUCGGAUGUGCCCAGAUGGGAUUAGCUUGUAGGCGGGGUAACGGCCCACCUAGGCGACGAUCCCUAGCUGGUCUGAGAGGAUGACCAGCCACACUGGAACUGAGACACGGUCCAGACUCCUACGGGAGGCAGCAGUGGGGAAUAUUGCACAAUGGGCGCAAGCCUGAUGCAGCCAUGCCGCGUGUAUGAAGAAGGCCUUCGGGUUGUAAAGUACUUUCAGCGGGGAGGAAGGUGUUGAGGUUAAUAACCUCAGCAAUUGACGUUACCCGCAGAAGAAGCACCGGCUAACUCCGUGCCAGCAGCCGCGGUAAUACGGAGGGUGCAAGCGUUAAUCGGAAUUACUGGGCGUAAAGCGCACGCAGGCGGUCUGUUAAGUCAGAUGUGAAAUCCCCGGGCUUAACCUGGGAACUGCAUUUGAAACUGGCAGGCUUGAGUCUCGUAGAGGGGGGUAGAAUUCCAGGUGUAGCGGUGAAAUGCGUAGAGAUCUGGAGGAAUACCGGUGGCGAAGGC
rnacentral:rRNA from 1 species